rnacentral:rRNA from 1 species
GACGAACGCUGGCGGCGUGCUUAACACAUGCAAGUCGAACGAAGUGGCGAACGGGUGAGUAACGCGUAAUCAACCUGCCCUUCAGAGGGGGACAACAGUUGGAAACGACUGCUCAUACCGCAUACUGAAGGAGUGGCUUUCGUCUGCUUAGCUAGUGGGAGGGGUAACGGCCCACCAAGGCGAUGAUCAGUAGCCGGGCUGAGAGGAUGAACGGCAACAUUGGGAAUGGGACACGGCCCAGACGCCUACGGGAGGCAGCAGUGGGGAAUCGUCCGAAAUGGACGAAAGUCUGACGGAGCAACGCCGCGUGAGUGAUGACGGCCUUCGGGUUGUAAAGCUCUGUUAAUCGGGACGCGGUACCGGAAUAGAAAGCCACGGCUAACUACGUGCCAGCAGCCGCGGUAAUUC